rnacentral:rRNA from 1 species
GACGAACGCUGGCGGCGUGCCUAAUACAUGCAAGUCGAACGCAGUGGGUACUGGUGAGUAACACGUGGGUAACCUCCCAUCAGAGGGGAUAACACUUGGAAACAGGUGCUAAACCGAUACUGAUGGAUGAACCCGCGGGGCAUUAGCUAGUUGGUGAGGUAACGGCUCACCAAGGCCACGAUGCCUAGCCGACCUGAGAGGUUGAUCGGCAACACUGGGACUGAGACACGGCCCAGACUCCUACGGGAGGCAGCAGUGGGGAAUCUUCGACAAUGGACGAAAGUCUGACCGAGCAAUGCCGCGUGAGUGAAGAAGGUUUUCGGAUUGUAAAACUCUGUGUUUAGAGAGGCGUUAUCUAACCAGAAAGCCACGGCUAACUACGUGCCAGCAGCCGCGGUAAUAC